AUUGAACGCUGGCGGCAGGCCUAACACAUGCAAGUCGAACGGUAACAGGGAUCAGCUUGCUGAUUCGCUGACGAGUGGCGGACGGGUGAGUAAUGUCUGGGAAACUGCCUGAUGGAGGGGGAUAACUACUGGAAACGGUAGCUAAUACCGCAUAACGUCGCAAGACCAAAGAGGGGGACCUUCGGGCCUCUUGCCAUCGGAUGUGCCCAGAUGGGAUUAGCUAGUAGGUGGGGUAACGGCUCACCUAGGCGACGAUCCCUAGCUGGUCUGAGAGGAUGACCAGCCACACUGGAACUGAGACACGGUCCAGACUCCUACGGGAGGCAGCAGUGGGGAAUAUUGCACAAUGGGCGCAAGCCUGAUGCAGCCAUGCCGCGUGUGUGAAGAAGGCCUUCGGGUUGUAAAGUACUUUCAGCGGGGAGGAAGGGAGUAAAGUUAAUACCUUGGCUCAUUGACGUUACCCGCAGAAGAAGCACCGGCUAACUCCGUG
rnacentral:rRNA from 1 species